rnacentral:rRNA from 1 species
GUGUCAGCCGCCGCGGUAAUACGGAGGGUGCAAGCGUUAUCCGGAUUCACUGGGUUUAAAGGGUGCGUAGGCGGAUUGGUAAGUCCGUGGUGAAAUCUCCAAGCUUAACCUGGAAACUGCCGUGGAUACUCUCAAUCUUGAAUAUAGUGGAGGUGAGCGGAAUAUGUCAUGUAGCGGUGAAAUGCUUAGAUAUGACAUAGAACACCAAUUGCGAAGGCAGCUCGCUACACGGUUAUUGACACUGAGGCACGAAAGCGUGGGGAUCAAACAGGAUUAGAUACCCUCGUAGUCC